UUUACAUAUUCUGCAUAUGCACCCGGAUGCCUGGCGCCAAUCACGGUUAAUUUCUCGCAGCGUGAUAAUUCACCUUUUUUGCAGCUUUCACAUUUUCCGCAAUAAAAGGUUGGACA
rnacentral:antisense_RNA from 1 species